rnacentral:rRNA from 1 species
UACGGGGGGAGCAAGCGUUGUUCGGAUUUACUGGGCGUAAAGGGCGCGUAGGCGGUCGUGACAAGUCACUUGUGAAAUCUCCGGGCUUAACUCGGAACGGUCAAGUGAUACUGUCGGACUAGAGUUCGGUAGGGGAGUCUGGAAUUCCUGGUGUAGCGGUGAAAUGCGCAGAUAUCGGGAGGAACACCGGUGGCGAAGGCGGGACUCUGGGCCGAUACUGGCGCUGAGGAGCGAAAGCGUGGGGAGCAAACAGG